rnacentral:rRNA from 1 species
UACGUAGGGGGCGAGCGUUGUCCGGAUUUAUUGGGCGUAAAAGGCUUGUAGGUGGCCACGUCAAGUCGGAUGUGAAAUCUCCCGGCUCAACUGGGAGGGGUCAUUCGAUACUGGCGGGCUCGAGGCCGGUAGGGGGAAGCGGAAUUCCGGGUGUAGUGGUGGAAUGCGUAGAGAUCCGGAGGAACACCAGCGGCGAAGGCGGCAUCCUGGACUGGUCCUGACACUCAGGAGCGAAAGCGUGGGGAGCGAUCCGG